GAGAGUAGCAAUACUUUCCUAGACCGGCGCACGGGUGAGUAACGCGUAUGCAACCUGCCCUUUACAGGGGGAUAGCCCGGAGAAAUCCGGAUUAAUACCCCAUAGACCUGCAGAUCCGCAUGGAUUAACAGGUAAAGCUGCGGCGGUAAAGGAUGGGCAUGCGUGACAUUAGCUAGUUGGCGGGGUAACGGCCCACCAAGGCUACGAUGUCUAGGGGUUCUGAGAGGAAGGUCCCCCACACUGGUACUGAGACACGGACCAGACUCCUACGGGAGGCAGCAGUGAGGAAUAUUGGUCAAUGGGCGAGAGCCUGAACCAGCCAUCCCGCGUGCAGGAAGAAGGCCCUAUGGG
rnacentral:rRNA from 1 species